rnacentral:rRNA from 1 species
UACGAAGGGGGCUAGCGUUGCUCGGAAUCACUGGGCGUAAAGCGCACGUAGGCGGACUCUUAAGUCAGGGGUGAAAUCCUGGAGCUCAACUCCAGAACUGCCUUUGAUACUGAGAGCCUUGAGUCCGGAAGAGGUAAGUGGAACUGCGAGUGUAGAGGUGAAAUUCGUAGAUAUUCGCAAGAACACCAGUGGCGAAGGCGGCUUACUGGUCCGGUACUGACGCUGAGGAGCGAAAGCGUGGGGAGCGAACAGG